GAUGAAGAACGUAGCGAAAUGCGAUAAGUAAUGUGAAUUACAGAAUUCAGUGAAUCAUCGAAUCUUUGAACGCACAUUGCGCCCGCCAGUAUUCUGGCGGGCAUGCCUGUUCGAGCGUCAUUUCAACCAUCAAGCCCCAGGCUUGUGUUGGGGACCUGCGGCUGCCGCAGGCCCUGAAAACCAGUGGCGGGCUCGCUGUCACACCGGGCGUAGUAGAUUUUAUCUCGCUCAGGGCGUGCUGCGGGUUCCGGCCGUUAAAAAGCCUUUUUUACCCAAGGUUGACCUCGGAUCAGGUAGGAAGACCCGCUGAACUUAAGCAUAUCAAUAAGCGGAGGA
rnacentral:misc_RNA from 1 species